UACCACGGUUUUAACGGGUCACGGGGAACUAGGGUUCGGUUCCGGAGAGGGAGCCUGAGAGACGGCUACCACUUCCAAGGAAGGCAGCAGGCGCGCAAAUUACCCAAUGAUAAUUCAUCGAGGUAGUGACAAUAAAUACCAGCCCUGGCUACUUACUGUAGCCAGGAAUUGGAAUGAACACGGUUCAAAUCUCCUAGUGAGGAUCAAUUGGAGGACAAGUCUGGUGCCAGCACCCGCGGUAAUUCCAGCUCCAAUAGCGUAUAUUAAAGUUGUUGCAGUUAAAACGCUCGUAGUCUGACUAAAGAGUUUGACUGCUUGGUCUGCCCAUGAUAUGGGUGUGAACUUGUGGCAUGCUCCUUUGAGCGUGGGAAACGUCUUUCUUGAUUGAUUGAGUUGCACCACGCUCCAGUUACUUUGAAAAAAUUAGAGUGCUCAAAGCAGGCCCUUUGCCCAAAUAGAUUAGCAUGGGAUAACGGAACAAGGCUCUGCCGCGUUCAGUUGGUCAGUGUGGCAGGGCAAUGAUUAAUGGGGGUGAUUGGCGGUAUUCAUAUUGCGUGGGGAGAGGUGAAAUUCUUAGAUCCAUGCAAGAUGCCCAGAAGCGAAGGCGGGUACCGAAUACAUCUCCAUCGACCAAGAACGAAAGUUUGGGGAUCGAAGACGAUCAGAUACCGUCGUAGUCCAAACAGUAAACGAUGCCGUCCAGGCUUAAAAGGACGUUACAUGGAUGACUCCCCUUAGGGCUUUGAGAAAUCAAAGUGUUUGGGUUCUGGGGGGAGUAUGGUCGCAAGGCUGAAACUUAAAGGAAUUGACGGAAGGGCACACCAGGAGUGGAGCCUGCGGUUUAAUUUGACUCAACACGGGGAAACUCACCAUAGACAAGACACAGUAAGGAUUGACAGAUUAACAGUUCUUUCUUGAUUCUGUGGGUGGUGGUGCAUGGCCGUUCUUAGUUGGUG
rnacentral:rRNA from 1 species